GGAGGGUGCAAAUUGGCCUUCGGGGAGAGCCGCACCGCGCAUUUCCCUGCAGCUCGGCUCGGGCGGGAGCGGGGGGAGACCUCCAGCUGAGGAAAACAACCAGGAAGCACAUCAAACUGUUACUUCCAUCCAUCCACAACAGUUUUCUAUGAAGUUUACAUUUCCAUCUUCAUCAACACAUUUUCCAAAGAUGUGCACUUCAUACGAGGAUCCUAUAGAUGCCUUCAGAAAGCAGCAUUAACUGCAUAUCAGGGUCUAUUAGACAGAAUAUCCACAGGAUAUCCUAUAUCUACAGAAGUGUCACUGCAGUGCACACCAAGACUGUACAAC
rnacentral:lncRNA from 1 species